UAUGUGUUUCAUUUCCAGAUGGUAUUCUUGGUUUGUAUUGUGCAAUGGUCACGGCAUUAUUAAACUCACCACCUGCUUCUUGACUCCCAGUGUCUCUGUUACAGAAUACUUCCUCAACAAAGGGAAGCAGCAGAAAAUCAGGCCAUCUCCCUGAUGUUUGACAAACAAUGAUAACUACUUUGUCAACACCGCGACUAGCUGAUGCAACUGGCGAUGGCUAUGGAAGAGGUUCUUUGUGGUCUUCAACAUCUCGAACAUACCUGAGAGGAUACUAGUGGAUGACACUCUACCACCAGUUGAGCCAGCCCAUCCAACAGUCUGCCCAGGUCAGUGAUGCCUGGGUGGGUGUAGGCUACGGCUAUCUGGGAGAGAAGAAGAGCUGGCUUCUUAUGAGGGGUUCAUGGUGGGGUUCAUGGCAGUGUUCACAGUUAUCUUCGCUCAUCCACCGGAGGGCAGAGGUGAUGAGUGCCUACUCCAACUAUGGUGGGAUGCCAAGACUGCUGCUGAGUACACGCUCACCUUCCAGACAGUAGCAACAUUCAGCAGAUGGCAUGAGCCAGUGCUCUGUAUGCUUUUCAGAAGAGGACUGCAUGAGGAGGUCCAGAUGGAACUUGCAUGUCGGGAUGACAACCUCCUUGGCUGCACUCAUUGCGAUAGCCAUCAGUCUGGUUAAUUAACUUUGGGAGCGUCGGUACAAUUGCUUCUGUCCUUCCCUUAGUGACCACUCUGUAUCAGAGCCUGAACCCUUGGAGGUAGGGGUCACACGCCUCCCUGCGGCAUAGUGACAGAAACUGCUGGGGCUCUGUCCCUGUUGUCGUUAAGGGGAGUUUAGCAGUGUCCGGUAUGUUUUUACUUGGGAUCCACGAGAGCAGAGGGACGGUCAUGUGAUCUUCCACCUCCUGGGGCAGAGUUCAAGCCCUUGAUGAUCGGUGCAUCUACUAGGAUCUGGGACCACUCACCGUGGAGUCCAUGAGAACUUUCCCUUCAUUAGUGGAGGAUUACAAUCACGGACUGGGCACCCGACUGCUGGAUGACCUGCUUUCCCAUUCCAUGUCGGUUUAGUCCUGUGGUUGCCUUUUAGCCCAACAUCCUGGAGGUAUACAAAGACCUGUGGGAGUUGGUUCCCAAAACCCGCGCCACUAGUCUCCCUCAUCGUCCCUGGGACUGUGCCAUUGAAUUGCUUGCGGACUCUGCGCAGACGCAUCUAUACUGUCUGUGGCUAAGGCCAUGCAGAAUUACAUCCGUGAAGCGAGCCAUCACAGUUUCAUCCACACAUCUACCUCUCCUGCUAGUGUGGUGGCUCACCAAGUCCCGUUACACUCCCGUUGGUGCCGGCAGCUAUCGAACAGCUCCGCAGGCCGCGUUCUUUAUCAAAUUGGAUCUCUGCGGAGUGCAUACGAUCUCAUCUGGGAGAGGGAUGAAUGGAAGACUGCUUUCAGCAUGAUGUCUGGUCACUCUGAUGCCUUUUGGCUUAGCCAAUGCGCCGUCAGUGUUCCAGGCAUUCGCCAACGAGGUGUUACGGGACAUGCUCGGAUGCCAGGUGGAUGUCUAUCGACAACAUCCUCUUCUACUUGGCUACCUUGGAGGAUCACAUCGCGUAGUCCUGGAAGAUCUCCUGGCCAACCAACUAUUUGUCAAGGCAGAGCAGUGACAAUUUCAUCAGGAAGCUGUCUCCUUUCUAGGCAACCAGAACCGCCCGCAAGGAGUGACGUUGUCUCUGGAUAUCCAGGUUUUACUCGUAGUACUCCAUCUCCAAGAGGUAUUGGUGGCCAACCUUGGUGAGGGAUGUUAUUCGCUAUGUCAACUCCUGGUCCAUGUAGUGAUUUAUUAACGUUAUUUUCCUUGCCAAAAAAACGAUACGGAUUUUUAACAUUUGGCUUUUUUUUUUAAAGUCUUCUAGUGUAGUUAAAACAGACGCAGCGGUCUAAGGCACUGCAUCUCAGUGCAUGAGGCAUCACUACAGUCUCUUGUUUGAAUCCAGGCUGUAUCACAUCCCGCCGUGAUUGUGACUCCCAUAGGGCAACGCACAAUUGGCCCAGCAUCAUUCGGGCUGUCAUUGUAAAUAAGAAUUUGUUCUUAACUGAAUUGCCUAGUUAAAGGUUACACACACCGCACUAACCAAUAAGUUAAUUUUCUGGCAUUUAUGAAUGUCCCCAUUGCAAGUAAAACAUAAUUAAAACCUAUUUAUUGUACUUACUUGGUGUUUCGUAGAGUCGUUUCAUCCUCAAACAGGACUUCUAUGGAACUCAGUUUGCGUGUUACUAACACUUGUUGACCAAAGAACCAAUCAUCAGGACCUUGACUAUGACUGCACGUCACAUAGUAAUUUAACACGUUCAUUAGAGUAACUACGUAAAUUAUCACUCGUAUUUCAUUUCACAACGAUUCAUCGAUACGUAUGCUAUGAUGCUUGUAAAGUUGUCUCGCGCACCUGCCCUUCCCCAAGCUCUGGACAGUGCUUGUCGUAAAAGAAAAAGCUAGAAAAGUGGAUGUGUUGCAAAAAAAAUGUUCUUUCCCAAAUACACAGCAAAACUACAUCUGUUUCAGUAGCUUUAGUUAGCUAAGUGUCAUGUAAAUUUGGGUUAUUUUAGAAGACUGUUAUUUGAUUAAUGGGCGUCUGACCCAUCUGUGAAACUAGCCACAAUAAGGAUUAGACACAAUAGUGGACUGUGCGGUUAGCGUUCAAAAUAAGUGUCGCAUAAUUCUAAUAUUUGCAUCACUGUAAAUUACUUACUGUAAUGAAACGGGCAGGGAGCAGGCCUCCAACUCUCGACCUUCUAGCUCGAAGUCCAGCGCGCAAUCGACUGUGCCCCAAAAGCAUACUGCGGAGUCGAUAUCCGCGCUAGUAAACGCAGGGUCGUUACAAUACUUUUAUUUUGAAGGGAAACAGCAAAUUCCACUUGAGCCUUAUUCUUAUUGUGGCCAGCUUCACAACCCGGUCCGUCGUGCCUCGCUAGGCAGAUGAAGCUAGCUAGGUACCAAGCAGUAGCGGACUGAGCCCCAGGAGAAUUCCCGGUGGGCCAGUCAACCUCUGGGCCGCCUUUAGUAGUAAAAUAUAUAGAGAUGUAUUAAUCAAGUUGGCAGAAAGUUGAGCGACACUGGCCAACCCUUCCCCUUUUCCCCAGACCUUAGCCCCUUUUGUCUCGCUUACAUUGACACUGACAGCUCGAAAACUAGCUACAAUAGAAAAGGGAAAAAAUGUGAGGGUGGGGCUGACAAGUUAAGAGACUAAAGAGUCAAAAGUCUUCACUCAAAAGCAAGUGAAUGUAAAAAAACGAACCGACUUAUUCGGUGGUGGUAGUACUAGUAGUGCCACAGACGCUAACAUUGAAGUGCUCGACCGGCCAAGAGGAAGAUGCCACAACCCGGUUUGCCGGUGGAAGAGUAGAUGGAGAGGACAGCGAAGCCAAAUGUGGGCACAUAUCUACCGCUUCGCCUACACUAAAUGUGUUACAAAUACAUGUUAUAUCCGAAUUUGAGUGGAAUGCAAAUACUAUUGGUCAGCUACUGCUGUGUAAAUGUACCAGAAAGAAUUGAGGUCAAGACGUUCAGUAACCGGGUGUUCAAACCGGAUAGCGUGAAGUACUCAAAUUGACGCCUAGCAAAGCUCUGGAUGCCUAGAUUUCGCGAACAUUGGUUGCAAAUAGUGUAC